rnacentral:tRNA from 1 species
GCCUGGAUGGCUCAUUCGGUAAAGCAUGAGACUCUUGGUCUCGGGGUUGUGAGUUCAAGCCUCAUGUUCGGUG